rnacentral:rRNA from 1 species
UGGGGAAUCUUGCACAAUGGGGGCAACCCUGAUGCAGCGACGCCGCGUGAGCGAUGAAGCCCUUCGGGGCGUAAAGCUCUUUCGACCGGAACGAUAAUGACGGUACCGGGAGAAGAAGCUGCGGCUAACUACGUGCCAGCAGCCGCGGUAAUACGUAGGCAGCAAGCGUUGUUCGGAGUUACUGGGCGUAAAGAGUCCGUAGGCGGUUUUCUAAGUUCGGUGUGAAAUCUCCCGGCUUAACUGGGAGGGUGCGCCGAAGACUGGGAAGCUGGAGUGUGGGACAGGCAGGCGGAAUUCCUGGUGUAGCGGUGAAAUGCGUAGAUAUCAGGAGGAACACCGGCGGUGUAGACGGCUUGCUAGACCAUAACUGACGCUGAGGCACGAAAGCGUGGA